rnacentral:lncRNA from 1 species
UUCCAGGGGAGAGAGUAACCAAGGUCACGGCUCUCUCCACCCAAGGAACAAUGUCAUUGUUCUCUUAUUCCUUAAUAGAGCAACACUCAGGAUCAAGAUAAACGCACAAAUGAGCUGAAUUGUGCUCGCAAAUUGGGACUUGGCAAGUGUAUUCGGCAGGCAAUGAGCCAUGUUCUUUUUCAUUCUGAACGCUUGGCAUUGAAAAAUGCCUACAGCUUUACUCAGCAUCUGCAUCAUUAGGGAUCUGGAAACUAGGCAAAUGCACUAGUCUGUUGUUUUAACCUGCAAGGCCAUUUGUUCCUCUGGAUAGCACACACCAGCCUGUAGCUGAAGUAAUAUGCAUCUCAUACAUUCCACACAGCUUCAGAGGUUCUCCAGGAUGGCGUCAUCUGUCCUGUUACAACAGAGCAUGAGGCCAUUACCAGAGGUAGGCUUCCAAUCUUUUAUUUAUUUAUUUAUUUAUUGGUACCAGGAAUCAAACACAGGAUCUUGUGCUUGCCAGGCAGGCGCUGUGCUGUUGAGCUAUAUCCCAAGCCCUGAUCUUCCAGUCUUGAACCUUCUUGUCUCCAGAACUGUUGAAUUAAA